UCGGUUCUUUGUUAUGGCGGGGACAAGGACCGAGGAAAGUACACAACGCUCCCCAAACAGGAACAGAAGUGGAAAGCAGCUUCCACAGAGAGAAUUAUCUCCCCCUUAAUCAGUUAAGUAACUGUGACCAGGACAGGAGAUAAAACUCAGAGGUGUAAAUAAACCUGUGUGGAUAAAGAGUGCUGAGAUCUGGACCAACACAGUCACCUAAAUAACCCUAUCCUUAAGACAAAACUUCAAAGGAAUUCUACAUCACCUGUAUACUUCAUUCCUAUGGUCCUACCCAAAAGGCCCUAUAAACCCCAAACCUUAAACCUUUAAGCAUGCCUCCUAAGGUUGCCCACACUCCCCUUCUUCAAAUGUGCACUUUUUGCCUUAAAUAAAGACUUCUUACUGCUCAA